CCUGGAGCUGCCCCAGUAGAGGAGACUGAAGAGGUGGUGCCGUUCCAACCACCGCAGGAGGAUGCAGCCCUGGAGCGCACACAAGAGCAGGAGUCCAGCCGUGGCCGUUUCCGCUGUACAGGGCAGAUGGCUGGCAAAUUCAUGAAGAG